GGCUUCAGCGUCUUACUGCGCGGGGCUCCAGUUUCCAGUCCCGCCCACGCGCCUUUGCAGGCUGCGGUGGGGUUUCGUUUUGCCUCCGGUUGGGACUGCUGUUUCUCUUCGCCGACGAGACGGGGUUUCACCAUGUUGGUCAGGCUGGUCUCCAAUUCUGACCUCGUGAUCCGCCUGCCUCGGCCUCCCAAACAGCUGUGAUUAUAGGCAUGAGCCACCGCGCCCGGCCAACCAUCAUUAUUAUUUUUACCGUGGAUCCUCUACCCUUCAGAGACUCUGGAACCCCUGUGGUCUUCUCCUCAUCUAAUGACCCUGAGGUGAUGGAGUUUUCAAGUCCUUCCAGAGAGGAAUGUCCCAAGCCUUCGGGUAGGGUAAACAUCAUGGCUGGCAGCCUCACAGGAUUGCUUCUACUUCAGGCAGUGUCGUGGGCAUCAGGUGCCCGCCCCUGCAUCCCUAAAAGCUUCGGCUACAGCUCGGUGGUCUGUGUCUGCAAUGCCACAUACUGUGACUCCCUUGACCCCCUGACAUUUCCUGCCCUCGGUACCUUCAGCCGCUAUGAGAGUACACGCAGUGGGCGACGGAUGGAGCUGAGUACGGGGACCAUCCAGGCUAAUCACACGGGCACAGGCCUGCUACUGACCCUGCAGCCAGAACAGAAGUUCCAGAAAGUGAAGGGAUUUGGAGGGGCCAUGACAGACGCUGCUGCUCUCAACAUCCUUGCCCUGUCACCCCCUGCCCAAAAUUUGCUACUUAAAUCGUACUUCUCUGAAGAAGGAAUCGGAUAUAACAUCAUCCGGGUACCCAUGGCCAGCUGUGACUUCUCCAUCCGCACCUAUACCUAUGCAGAUACCCCUGAUGAUU
rnacentral:sRNA from 1 species